GAUCGUUGAGGAUCGCUGGAAUAGAAAUGAGUUCUAUUCCAGCGAUCCCAAACGAUCCACAGCGAUCCAACUAUCCCACAAUGCGUAUCAAUUUUCCUCAGACGUAAGAUGCAUCAGUGUUGCUAUACACCCCUAUAAGGUGCUUUUAAUUGAAAUAUGCGAAAACAUUCAGAAGUCUAUCAUCAGAUUUCAAGAUCAAUUUUACUCUAAAAAUAUUUGCACGUAUUCACCUGAAAAAGUAUUCACGAUCGUCCAGUCGCAAUUCCUGUAUGAGAGUAUAAAACACACCAUAUUCGUUUCUUCUCUGAAAAAUUUCUCUGACCCAAAAUCGAUGCUGCCUAAGCUUAUGCCGAUCGAUUUGCUUCUUCAAUAUAAGUAGCACAAAAAUGCUUGCUUCCAUCAGAAAUCUUUUGUCUACAUCCGCCAUUUCAAAAAAUCUGCAAAAAGCGCGCCAGAAGCAUCCAGAAACGCAGGGAUCCCCAGCAAUCGUGAAAGAUCGCGAGCGAUCACGAGCGAUCCAGAUCGCUGCAAAACUCCAGCGAUCCUCAGCGAUCGUCAGCGAUCGUAAACGAUCAAAUGGAAACCAGGCUUAAGUGGCAUCACGUCCACGGUGCCUGCCGAUAGGGCUGUUGUGGUAUGCACAUAAAAGGUGACGUUGAAGAUUGGUGUCUGAUGGUACGUAGAUACGUAAGAUGGUCACUGACAGACAUGAAUUCAUCUGAGUAGUAUAGAAUACCAUCUACAAGUUUUGUGCGUUUGGCGACUGUAACUACCCAACGCUUUGUUUUGAGGGCGAGGCCUGCUAGAUCAGCAAUCGAGUUCGGAACCUGUAAAUACUGAAUUAGCGGGCCUAAAUAGGGAUCGUUCCUUUGUAACUUUGCAAAUCUAAGUCUGUGUGUGUUUAAGGAAGUAAGAAAUUGUAAAUCAGUAUCCCAGUCAGGGUGAGUAGGAUAUGGGACAGUGUCACAAGUUGUGAUUUCCGCACAUUGACUGUGUUUUCUAUUUGCGGUAAAAUUGCUGAUAGUUGACUUGUUUGUGUCAGUUGUACUACAAUAAGCUGUAUUAGUUGUAGAAAUGCAAGCAAGUGUGAGACAUGUUAUACUAUCUAUAUUUAUAUAUGUUAUAUAUUUAUACAUUCUGAAGAAGCAUAUUGCGAAACGUUAAUCAAGUUGUUUUUUACUGAUAAUCUAUUUAAAUUUUUAAAAAACAUUACAGUCUAGAGUUUUUGAAUACAUAUAUAUGUUAUCUAUAUAUAUUUUAUCGAAAUGUAGAAUAUCAAGAGAUAGCAUUUGCAAGAAAAAAUCCAGAGAGUUUUGUGGAGAAAUAAACAAAAUGUCAGCGUUGACUGAAGGUAUAGGCAACGGGAGCUCUACUUAUAGUAUCAGGAAAGGUGUUUUGUUUCCCUGGGCGGUGCUCUAUGGAAAAAUCAAACUCUGAUAACGAGAAGCACCAACUAGCUAAUUUUGAAUUAUGGGGUGCUAUAUUAGACAAAAAUUUUAGAUUGGCAUGAUCUAUAAUAACCUUAAAUUUUUUCCCAUUAAGUAAGGCCGAAUAUGUUCCAAAGCCCAUUUGACUGCAAAAAAUUCCUGAUGUGCUGUGGGCCAGCGCGACUCGGUAGGGUUGAAAGCAACUUUUUCCGCCGGAUCAACAUUGAGUAUCGAAUUCUGCAGGAAAACCGGUCUAGAAAAAGUUGAUCUGAUAAAAUUCCUCGUCGGAUGACCAUUGUUAGCUCAUUCACAGGCUGCAUCCCAAUUUUUAGACAAAACCCCCCAAAGCUCGAAAAAACAUCCUCUCCCACCCUAUCAACCUUUUUUCCCAAUUCUACACCAAAAACUAGUCUUGUAAAAGCUGGUUUGGUGAAGUUCUCCUUAGGGUGGUCAUCGACAGCUCAUUCACAGGCUGCAACCUAGUUUUUGGACAAAACCCCCUGUAUCUGGGAAAACCCCCUUCUCCGCCCGAUCAACAUCCAGAUUUGAACCCUACACCAAAAAAAGGUCUAGAAAAAGUUGGUCUAGUAAAGUCCCUCGUCGGGUAGUAAUGCUCCCCCUGACCCUCUGGACUAACAGUGACCUUCAAAAUUACUUUCAAAGAUAUUGGUGAAAAUUUUAUCUCAACAGCUUUUUGCUGCAGUUGUGCUUGAUAUUUCUCGACUGGUUGAAUAUUCAUUAUAUGUUCUUUUAGAAGCAAGGACUAUUACUAGCAUAGUGGAAUUGAUGCUGCGAUGCUACUUAUGAUUUGCAGAACAACGAACGAGGAUAGCGAAACGAAGCGUAAUGCGCAACGCUAAGUCAAGCGUAACUGGCUCAGCGUAACGAAAAUUGGCACGAGAUGCUGAAUUUCAGUGUAAAAAUGAGUUGUGCAGAAUGCUAUUCAUAAAAUACAUAAUGAAGAUUGGUGCGUUAUGCUCAACCUCAAAGUAGCAAAGUGUGGCAUGUAAGGUUUGAAUCACAGGGCAAUGAGGAGUUUUAAACAACGUUAAUUCUCUGCUUAACGAAAAAGUGAUACUAUCUAGCACCUUGCCUAGAACCCAAGUAUGCAAAAUAAAUGCAGUUUGUGUCUUGUGACGCCUUUUUGAAGCAAAACCAACCCAAAAACAGUAGCAGACUGACUCAAAACUUUUCAUCGACCAUGAGAAAUAGAGAGACCAUGAUUAUUCCAAGUUGCACAAGAAGGUUUGUUAUUUUACCAAUACCUUCCUCUCCCAUGAUAUACGAGCAAAGAAUUCAGGUAGUACCUUCCUAAAUGCCUGGCAAAUCUUCGUCACUGAUCGCUAAACACCGCCAAUUAAGGAGCGUAACAGAGCUAUUACAAAGAUCGGGGGUUUUGGGAAGAAAAACAAAAAUGUACAAUCAUGGUCGAGGUUGGUAGGAGGAGCUUUAGAGGUUGACUUUAAUCUGGGACGUGUUAGAACACGAAAGAUUAUUAUCGAUUGAAAGAUAGCGAAGCGGUGCGCUGAAAAACGACACUUGAUUCUUGUUUGAUGGGUACGAUGCAUAUGCACCUCAAAAACAAUCAAAAAAUAAUGUCAAGGCAAACCAGUUUAUCAAAUAAACAUCAAAUUGCAAUCCUCUUGUUUGUUCUCGACUGACGAAAGCAGGUGCGUUCAAUGCACAUAUUGUUUUUAAUAAUCGAACUACAGAUGCACUUAAAUGAACUACAGAUUCAAGGCCUGUAGCGUAGUUCUGUUGAAUUAGUUGACCAACAGAUCUGCAUAAAGCUAAAUAUCCUAUAAGCCAUUCUACUUAAUUACAAGAGUAACUUGUAAGAAGUACUGUGAGCUGUGGUAACUUCACAUUCCAUGCGCUAAGCCAGUUUCAUUGGCCAAGAAACCUCAACCCUCUGACCAAAAGCUGCUCAACUGACACUGUCAAACAUCAAGCGAGCUCAGCUCCAACAUAGGAUAGUCCAUAAAGGAAGACCGCUUAGAGAGGGAGAGGGAGAAAGAAAGGGUAAUUAUAUUUGUGUACCUCGGUCAUUGGUGAUUUAAGCAAGCAAAUGUAACUUCUUGUCGCAGCUUUUCAACUCAAUUCAGGACUGAACAGUCAACAAAAUUAGUUACAGUACAGGAAAGAAAGGGGUGUGUCGUCUUUCCCUCCAUUCCUCGUUUGUCUUCUUAUUCCAAAUCUUCUUCAUCUUUAUAUUGCCCACUUUCUACUAUUUUCAAGACCGUAGUAAAGAUAGAAUUAUUUUAUGGGUACUCAAUGGUGAUGUCACGAAGGGGGGGGGGACUCAAGGGGGAAACGUUCCAUCUGAGUUCGCAGCAAGAUUUUUUUGCAUUCCAUCUGAAUUCAAUAAGGAAAGGUUGGGGGAGGGGUGAUAUUUUGACAAAGUAUUAUUAAUAAUGUGACUGCAAUGGCUGCAAUGCAAGUUGGCAAGUUGAGGGACAAUGUUUGGGGGGCAAACUUGUGAGGGCUAAGUUGGGGCGCAAAGGGAAAGUUAAGGGAUCAUAACGAAUAAUAUUUCCUUGUUUUGCAAACAAGCUGGGGGUCAUGUCCCCCUGUUCUAUAAUUUUGAAAUUACUUUAACGUCGCAAAAAAUAAUCAACGGCAUUAGAAAUUGGUGAAAUUGGCGUGCCUUGUACGUAAAAAACGUUUUCUGAAAUCAAAAAGGGCGUGGCCUAAGUUUUAUCUUAUUUUCUAAAAAAAUAUUAGCUACAGUGGUGCUUUAUUUAGAUUAACGAUUUUGAUACAGUGAAUGCGUUUUAGCAAGAGAUUAAAAAUCAAUGAAGCCAAAUACCCAUCCUAAGGUUAAGGAAAAAGCAAAAACUAGCAAGGUCUCUUUAGAUUUUCAUGAAAAAUGCGUUUGACUACAUUGGUUUUUAUGCUUUAGUUGUGUAUCAGACUUUUUACUCUUGGUUCAUCUUAACCUUCAUUUAAACCUAAACAAUAUCAAUGGGUAGGGUAACAGGUCCUUGACUGAUAACAUAUAGAUUUAGUUAUUAGUGAAACAUUAGUUAUCGUUAUUAUCAUUAUUAUUAUUGUUGAAUAUCUAAAUGAUUCUAUGACAGAUAAAGAGCUCUCGAGUGAUGACGUCACAACACAAAAAUCUGUUUGUCGAAUUUUUUGAAUUUUCAUUCCAUAAACUGAAAGAGCAACAUGAUAUUCCUCUAAAUCUGCAAAAUCAGUUAAAGAUAUUACAAAUUGGCUGAGAUAUGGCCAGAUGAGCACAGGCAGGCUCUUUCCCAUCAAUCUUUGUAAUUUGGGCUCUCUUCAUAACUUCUAUUCAUGAACAGAGCCAAAAUAACAAAAAUCCAUGAACAACUUCAAAGCUUUUAUCGACCAUAUUUCACCCGAUUGUUGACACAUUUAACUGAUUUGGCAUAUUUAGGAGUAUUUCAUGAUGUUCUUUCAUGUUACGCGGUCAAAGUCUAAAAGUUCUAAAAGCAGUUUUUUGGUGAAAUCAUACUUAGGAUUAUUGCAAGGUCUAUCUAGUGAUGAAAGUUGCAUAAAAAUUGUUCCGUUUUAUUAGUGAGCUAUCCUUAAAGCUAUUGUCAUUGACUUGUAAUCUCGUUUCAGAUCCCUGAUGAAAUGCUUCAUACAGUUAAUCACUUUUGGAGUUUUUCAGCUGAUGUCAAAGGUUCUAGCAAAUUUGUUUGGUUUUGUGGUUCUUUUUGUUUCGUUGUUUCGCAGGCCUUGUCUUGGCUGAUAACAUGCUGGUUUUUUCUAUUGAUGUAAAAGAGUUUAGUGGAAGUCCGUUAUAGUAAAGGUGGGUUUUUCUGUUAUUUGUUCAUCUAUAAUUCAUGUUAUUACUACAAAACAACAAAGAUUGCCAUGUUUUUCUUAUAUUCACCCUUAGACUCUUAGGCGCCACUCUAAGUCGUGAAUGAUUUUAUCUCGGAUGGUCAGUUGUCAGGGAAACUGCUUUCUAGCAGGUAGCGUUACUUCGAAAAACAGAAAAUAUUGAUUGAAUAGUGGAUGUUUGGUCACUUUCACGCAAAUGCUUUGUCAAUAGGCAAUGUUUAAUGAAAAAUAUCAGCUGGCAUGAAGCAUUUGACGUCAGAAAAGCACGUUUCGUUCAAUUGGUAUCACCAGGAUAAAACACUAUCACUCGCUAAUAAACAAUGAUCUAAUUAACUCCAGAGAGUGGGUAAAUAACAAAAAUUGGGAAAUGGGAUAGAGGGAAGUAAGAAAAAGUCUUUUAAUGAACAAUUCUUUGGCUAAAGCUUACACUUCAAGAAAGUACCUUUCUUUGGAUCAGAGUUGCUGCAUACACCUCGUCAAUUUUCCAUGUUUCCUGAAGCUCUAUGCGAUGUCUCUACCCCAGGCCUACAAUCAGGCCAUUCGCUAGCUACCUUUUGUGCUCCAGGGGGGUUUCGAAGUCCCAUUUGCCGACAAAGUGGGUGAGCCAUACUUUUUUGCCGAAAAGUUUUCUAAUUUGCUGACUAAGCACAAAACUCCUCGUUUUUUGCAUUGGAAACUUUUUCAAGAGGUUGUCACACCCCACACGCCCCUUAUAGCGACAGACCUACUUACGAUACCUGUCAAGCUCUUCAACAAGACCGUGGGUACUCUCUCUAGUAAUGCUGUUUGUGCACGAAGCUUUCAGUUGGUUGGACUUGCUACAAGUCUCCCUGAUUAAUAAAUAAAUAGAGAAAUAUAACGAGAGAGACUUGUAGCAAGUAAAGCAGUCGGUAAGAAAUGGUUGUUUUGUGAGAGUGAAAGGAGCUUUUAGGCCGCAAGCUAAGCUACUAAGCAACCAAGUGCUAGCCGAGGAUGCUAUCUUAAUUUUUCAACAAAAUGUGACUUUAAAUAACUAUCGGUUAGAUUUGCUCCAGCCACCAGCAAGCUAAUUUAUUGCAACGUUUCUUAAAUCUAAGGUAAAAACUAAACCAAGCCUUUGUUUACUUUAUACUUUUUUGAUAACCUGAUACUGCAUUUUCAACAGUAAGUUUUUAUUAUCUAGUUGAGAACGAGUUUACAACAUCACAUUAAAAGUGGACUAUAAGGUAAAAUAUUAAGAGUAUUAAAUAAGAGAAGGCAAAUGUACGCCUCGUUUUGUGAGGGGGAAUAGCCAUUUCCAAUUGUGACAUUCGACCUUAUUUAUCAAAGACCUACAUGUAGGGUUGAUUAAAUCUGUUUUUCUGCAUUUACUAGUGUCGCAGGACCCCAAAAUUCCAUACCAGAAAUCACAUUUUACCUUCAGAUUUAUAUUUGCUUUUUGAAAAGCUGGAACUUUGUUAGGCGAAUAACCUCUUUAAGAAACUUUUACACUUAAAAAUCCCAACUACAAGUUUUGCAACAGAUUUUCUAACAAAUCUAGCACUUUUGAUGAACAUUUUAUGACUUUUUUCGUGCAAAGCUAAUGUUGAUGAGGGUAGCAAUGAUUGUGGAUUCAAAAGCAAGGCAAGGUAAUUUCCUGUAGGCAGUAGUGGAGCCUGCGAAUUAUUAGCUGGGAGAAACCCUAUGUUCUUUAUCGCUUUUCUCCUGCAUUCAUAGGCGUAUCGGAUGCAAAGCGCCAGGGGGGGGGGGGCUUAAUAUGGAUCUUGCCAGAAUGAAGCCUGAAAUGCAAUACUUUUGCUUGAUUAGAGGGGCUGCAGCCCUGCCAGCCCUUAUUUCUUCUACGCCAAUGUUGCAUUGAUCGGGGAAUUUUAAUACGGAGGGCAUCCUUUUAAGGAAUAAGAUACCACAAGAAGGAGUUUCUAAUUUUCCAUUAACGUCAACUAUGCUAUGCAUAUCCGCUUUUUUUAAUUUUCUGAAGGAGCAUUCCACUUUCAAAGAAAUAAGUUUAUUUUGUAUCGUGUAAGACGAGAUAAAGCAGAGCUUACACUAUGAUCUGGUCAUCCAACACCCCCAUCCUUGCUCUGGUCAUCCGACACCCCCAUCCUUGCUCUGGUCAUCCAACACCCCCAUCCUUGCUCUGGUCUUCCAACACCCCCAUCCUUGCUCUGGUCCAGUUUUUUUACCAUUACAGAUGCGAGGUGGCUGUAUUAAACAUAAGCGAACGAGCAUUAAGUUAAGGGAACUGUCACAAAUUAUUAUCAGCGAACAAGUUUGUUUCUUGUGUCUUUUUUUAUCUUCACAUGCUGCAGGUACUAAUUAAAUUCCAAGGGAAAGAUUUUGGCGAGGAAGGACACGAUUAACAUGUGCGGUUUGUAAUUUCAGUCCCCUGUGUUUAUAAAUAAGUAACGCUGCACAGGAAUAAUGGUCCUUUUAUCUGCUCGAUAUUAGCAACCAGCAACCAAGACUUCUUAGUGAUCUUUCAAUGUGAAUAAAGACAAAAGGAUUUUAGCCUAUUUACGUUUGCUUGUUCAAGUAUUAAGUUCAUAGAAGAGCAAGUUCGGGUUCCCAGCAGUGCUGAUGGAUUACGUUUAUAGUGGAGAGUCCCAGUGCAAGCAUUGAAAAUGAAUGUAGAUGCACGAAAUUGAUCAAGUGUGCUCGUAGCUGGCAUUAGCUGUUGGUUUGCGAUGCAGCGGGGAGAUGCAAGCACAUUGCGGUUAGUUGAUAAUCAUUGGGGGUGAUUCAUCAAUGGCAGGGGAGCUACAGGCUUUGAAUUUCAUCACGAGUCAUAUUGAACGACUGCCUUUGAAUGAUAGUGGAAAUGAGAAGCUGCCCAGUGUGUUUUACUAUCAAGAAAGCACGGACAAAAAUUUUAAAGCUUUCAAAGCAAACAAGAUAAGUGGUCAAGUCCGAGACAAUAGUCAUAGCAGGUCAUCCUGUGAACCCCGAUCAAAUCUGAAUGAAAACUGCAAAGCGAUCUUUGAUGGUUACCACGAAUGCAAAUCUAAAAACAGCCUAACAAUAUAUGAGCUGACCAAAAAGCUGGAACCGAUAUUCGCAAGCGAAGAUGCCGCAACGUGCGCAAAGCUACGCGAUGAGCGCAGCUCGCUGUCUACGAUAAAGCGCAAAAGGUCAACAGACUCGAACGUGGGUGAAUCGUCGAAAUCCCUUUGCGACGAGGAAAUCAGCAAAAUCUGCGACAAAAGAACUUUUCGCAGUUUUCGUGUUCACCUUGGGCAAGAAUUUCAGAGAAAUCAUGAUGAAUUCAUGCAUAAUCUCUCACCGCGCUUGAAAAGGAAAUCGUUAUGCAAAUCACAGCCAGAACAAAAGAGGCCUAAGCCAUGCUUAGGUGUCCAUGUCACGAAAAAGCGCUCAGCAACACCGUGGCUGCCAUUUGAGUUUCGUUGCGCUGCAAGAAAAAUGAAGAUGAUCAGAGUUAAGCCACUUAAUCCUCAAGAAAAGGACAUUUGUCGAUUCUACGGAGAACGAUUUAACGAAGAACGAUUUUUUCGUCCCAUUGGCCAGGAUGAGUAGAGAAUCUAUAGUAUUCUGUAGUAGAGGCAUCCUCAUUUCCAAAAGAGGUUAAGUAGGUCGCUAUUGUUUAUGCAAAGCAGAGUAGAACGGUUGAUCAGGAAACCAUUUUAUUAGUUGUCAAGGUUCAGAAAUACGUCAUUUCACUCAAUCUUCCGAGGGGCAUAUCACUCCACAAAAAUUUCGUUCUCCCUUUGCGUAAAUCCUUUUGUUUUCGAGAAAAGUUCCCGAAAAGUUCUGAAAAAUCCUACUGUUUAUAAAAGUCUCGUAAACUGUUUGGAAAGAGUGAUUCAGCCCUCGCAAUUUUCCAUAUUAUGCUAAAAACAAAGCACGAAAGAGUUUUUGAUAAAUAAAUAGUUCUAUAGAACUUUGAUUACAUUGGCAAUUAGGAAGUUCCCAGUUUCUAGUUUAAGCUAGGCGAUGGGAACAAAAAAAUGUUAGAUGAAUCCUGUUUGGAUGUUAUGAACUAUAUUAAAGUGUACACUAGAAGGUGGUAGAUGUAUAUAGUAUCUUAUAUUUAUAAUGCAUACCUAGGUGGCUUAAAGACGCAUUUUUGUCGUUAAUUUAUAUUUGUUUCAAUGAAACGUUUUUCAUAACAUUAUUAAUGGGGAGAUAUAUUUGACGAUACGAUUAGCGACAGUAAAUGGUGGCCCCUAUGUGGGACAUAUCUCAAGCUAUAGCUGCGGAGAAAUUUAGAUUGCCAUAUGACAGUCUCAAGACUACAAUCUUGCCCAGUGGCAGACGUUAUGAGCGAAUAGGGAAGGGGAAUCCGCCUUCAGUGUGAAAUGACUCGAAAACCUAUUUGAAAGGAGCUGUCUAGUUUCCAUACUGCUCGACCUGAUGACGUAAUUAUUUUACCCUAAACCUAACCCUAACCCUUACCCUAACCCUAACCCUAACCCUAACCCUAACCCUAACCCUAACCCUAACCAAUUACUUGAAAUAAUUAAUCAUGCUAAUUGAUGACUAUUAAUCAUGCAUAUUUAUGACUAUCAGGUCGAGCAGUAUUGAAACUAGACAAUUCCUAUUUGAAAAGUUAUCGGGUCUAAAGCUAAAAUUACUUCGGAUAUUCGAUUUUGUGGAAGAAGAGAUAUCUGCUCGAAGAGUCGCCAAAAUCCAAAGUGCAACUAUCACACCAAAUGCCUACAUUAUCAUAUCCUCUUUACAGUAGCAACAAAGGUAAUAGGCUGCGCUUAGAUUAGGCUAGUGGAUGCGAACAUAGCCGAGGGGCAUUUCACUACCUGAAAUAGCGUACAAGAUUUUUGGGAUUUCUAAAAUCCCUGAAAUCCUGACUGGGAUUUUCGGAUUUUUGAACAGAUUUGACAUGGAUUUCUGGAUUUCUUCCGAAUUUCUAAAGAUUUCCAGGGAUUUUUUCUUGGACGUUAAAAAUUCUUAAUACCUAAUUAUCUUUCAAAAUCCUGUUGCCUGUAAACAUUCUUAAUACCAUUAAAAACGUGUAAAUGUAUCGUAAACUAAUCGUCAAUCUUUUUGAUUAAAUGAUAUCGAAGCCGAGAUUGCUAAUUUCUUAGUGUGAUGUCACAAAAGUAUGUACACUAUCUAGAAUUUUUGGAUUCUAGCUGCAUAACCUUAAAAAACACCAUGAAAUACUUCAAGAAAGCAAAUUCUAUAGAAUCUAUUGAUUAAAUCUAUAGAAUGUGGGUUAUAUAUGGCAAAUGAAAUAUUUGAAUUUUGCUAACGGAUUGGAAUUUUAUGAACAGAUACAAAAUAUCAAAAUUACAGAGGUUUCUGCAAAAGGAUUGCUAAAAUGUUUGGCACUGUUUAGCUGGUUUUUGAUAAACCUCCCGAACAUCUACUAAAAUUUAUAAAAAAUCAUAGCCUAUGGUACAUUUGAGAGAUUUGAGUGGUUUUAGGAUCGCAAGAGGACUUGCAGGGAUCCUCGGAUUUUUAAAGGAUUCUUGCGGAUUUUCGAAUUUUUAAAGGAUUCUUGAGGAUUUUCGGAUUUUUAAAGGAUUCUUGCGGAUUUUCGGAUUUUUAAAGGAUUCUUGAGGAUUUUCGGAAUUUUUAAAGGAUUCUUGAGGAUUUUCGGAUUUUUUUCGGAUUUUCAGAGGGGGUGUACGGAAUUUGAAAGAGAAAGUGAAAUGCCCCUCGAACAUAGCAACAAGGAACUAAAUGUCGAUUGACAAUAUUGUUGACAGCAUAACAACUAAAUGUUUAUGACAGCAGCAAUACUGCAUCUAACUUCACAAUCUUUUAAAUUUGCGCCAUAAAUGCCUUCUAUGUGUGGCAUCUCUAGUCCCAGUCGCUAUGUUUGUUAGCUGGGCGGUGACGCAGGGAAAUGGGAAUAGUUUAAAGAAAUUUAAAGAAAGUGUGACACUAGAAGAAACACCCUGGGCUCCAGAGUCCAUUAUUUAGUCUCAGAAAUAUACUUCAAAACUAGUAACAGAAAUAUUCCUUGCCACCGCAGCCGUCUACAAUACUAUAUCCUUGGAUUCAUGAGGCUCUAGUUUCCAGGGUAAAAAGAAACAGAUUUAGUCAAGUGAAAUCCAGAGUAAUUCCAUCUUUGUCCUUACAAGCAUAGAAACGCUCUUAUGUUAAAAGCCAGAGCUAAAGAAACCGCCGAAUGCAAAAAGUAGAUCAUCCGUAUUUUGUAAAUUUGAACUCUGUAACCUGAGAUUUUUUAUUAACGCUGUCAGUUGUCUAUUUUAUAAUCUUUAUCUCUAGCGUAUGAAUCGUAAUGAAAGAAAGUCAUUUAUCA